rnacentral:rRNA from 1 species
CCCUUAGAUGUUCUGGGCUGCACGCGCGCUACACUGACGAAGGCAACGAGCUACUCUUCACCGAAAGGUGUGGGUAAUCUUUUGAAACUUCGUCGUGCUGGGGAUAGAUCCUUGCAAUUUUUGAUCUUAAACGAGGAAUUCCUAGUAAGCGCAAGUCAUCAACUUGCGUUGAUUACGUCCCUGCCCUUUGUACACACCGCCCGUCGCUACUACCGAUUGAAUGGUUUAGUGAGGCCUUCGGAUCCGCGAUUUUAUUGUGGAGAAGUUGGACAAACUCAGUCAUUUAGAGGAAGUAAAAGUCGUAACA